CCAGCACCCAGCAGCAACCUACCGGUAGACUCAGUGACGUCGGAAUCUUUCCUCGAAGCCCUGCGCUUUUUUAAAACUUUUCGAGUAUGAUAUUUCGUCUGAUUGUCAGCUACCGUUACAAUUCUUUUCGAUUCCUCAAAAAUACGCCGAUAAGAGAAAAUUUUCACAAUUAUGCGAAACCAUACUUCGAUACAUGUAUUUAUAAAGACUCCGUAUAUCGUCGUUUUUUCGAUACCUCAUUUACUGUAAUACUAUACCAACGUUUUAUUAUCGAAGAUUCACGUAUUAAUUAUACGUGUUCGUAUUUCCAAUGAGUCUACGAAUUAUUUUGGCGAUCCCAUUGUUUCUUUGAUAUAGUAUUUUAGGAUGUGCUGUUUAUCUCGUUUGUACGUUUCCAACGGACCGCUUCAUUGCUCGUAGCGUUCUGCUGAGCAGGAUAUGUCGAGAUUGUCGAGGGUCGAAAGCAACAUCAGCAGCGGCGCAGCAACGCAGCAUCUAACACCUACCAACCAACUACCAAUGGCGGCCUGGCAACAGUGUCGCGUUAAAAAACAGGUAUAUAACGAUUAGAAAACAAGUUUUAUUCCCGGUGGUUUCUCAAUAAUUAAAAUAAAUCUUGUCAAGCGAAACUUCAUUUACAUCUUUGACAUUCCUCAUGGGAUCGAAUCAACGACCUUUAUUUUAAACGACGACGAUUGAAAGUUGUUGGAUCGCUUCGACAGCCAUUGCCGCGGUAAAUGUGUGGUUAUGAAACGUUUUUCGAUGUGGAUGUGAGUGCAAUCUGCUAUACCGACGCGUAAUUCACGUGCAGAACCGCAGCUGCAACCGAACACAUAUAUAAUUGUUGGUCUUUGGAAAUUUUCGUAAUUGUUACGUUAGAUCCUAAGAAAUGGCGUUUUGGCGAAAUUUCAUCCGAAAAAGAAUGAAACCAUUGGAUCAGGAUUAUGCAAGAAAUAUGAAAAAACAUUUGUCAGCCUUGUAUUUUUUUGUUGCCUGGAACUUGUUUGGACUGACUAUAUAUACAUGGGGAAAACAAUCGCUUCCGUCACGAAAUGAAGAACUAGAGAGUGCCAGCAAAUAUUAUUCAAGGAUAUAUGGCCUCUCAGAAGGGACUGCUUAUCGAUACAAGGGUUUUGAAUUAGUCGAAAAAUUUGAAAUUUUGUCCCACGAUAAGGGGAAACCGUACGAAGAAACAGAGGACUUUAAAAAUCACCAGAAAGCAAUAUCCAAUGAAAAUCUGGAACUUCUGGUCGAAGAAUCUGACAGUCUCUAAACACUUUCAAUAAAUUAUAAAAUUACAUA